rnacentral:rRNA from 1 species
AUUGAACGCUGGCGGCAGGCCUAACACAUGCAAGUCGAACGAGUGGCGGACGGGUGAGUAAUGUCUGGGAAACUGCCUGAUGGAGGGGGAUAACUACUGGAAACGGUAGCUAAUACCGCAUACCAUCAGAUGUGCCCAGAUGGGAUUGGCUAGUUGGUGGGGUAACGGCUCACCAAGGCGACGACCCCGAGCUGGUCUGAGAGGAUGACCAGCCACACUGGAGCGGAGAAACGGUCCAGACUCCUACGGGAGGCAGCAGAGGGGAAUAUUGGACAAUGGGCGAAAGCCGGAUGAAGCCAUGCCGCGUGUAUGAAGAAGGCCUUCGGGUUGUAAAGUACUUUCAGCGGGGAGGCGUUACCCGCAGAAGAAGCACCGGCUAACUCCGUGCCAGCAGCCGCGGUAAUUC